AGCAGCCGCGGUAAUUCCAGCUCCAAUAGCGUAUAUUAAAGUUGUUGCAGUUAAAAAGCUCGUAGUUGAAUUUCGGGGUUAGUAGGUUGGUCAUGCCUCUGGUAUGUACUGGUCUCACUGAUUCCUCCUUCCUGAUGAACCGUAAUGCCAUUAAUUUGGUGUUGCGGGGAAUUUGGACUGUUACUUUGAAAAAAUUAGAGUGUUUAAAGCAAGCUAACGCUUGAAUACAUUAGCAUGGAAUAAUGAAAUAGGACGUUCGAUCCUAUUUUGUUGGUUUCUAGGAUUGACGUAAUGAUUAAUAGGGAUAGUUGGGGGCAUUAGUAUUCAAUUGUCAGAGGUGAAAUUCUUGGAUUUAUUGAAGACUAACUACUGCGAAAGCAUUUGCCAAGGAUGUUUUCAUUAAUCAAGAACGAAAGUUAGGGGAUCGAAGACGAUCAGAUACCGUCGUAGUCUUAACCAUAAACUAUGCUGACUAGGGAUCGGAUGAUGUUAAUUUUUUAAUGACUCAUUCGGCGCCUUA
rnacentral:sRNA from 1 species